rnacentral:lncRNA from 10 species
CUCCAAUUGUACUUUUGAGAGCCUAUUAGGACAUCCAGUGAUCGAAGCUUCCCCAGAAACCGGGGCCCUCCUUUUCCGGAGGAGAGGCCAUUAGAAAGUGUUUGGGGUCUCAGGUCCCCACUGUUUGCCUGCACCUCAGAGAGAGCAGCAGAGCAAUUCUCCCAGAGGGUCCUGGAAACAUAACCCAGCCUCUCCCAGGGAUCCCCAAAGCCCCUUGUCAUUCCCUGCCUCCCCCUGAAGUCAGGUGAAUCCACCAUUCCGCUUGUCCCAGAAACUGGAUCUGGUAAAUGUGGGCGUCUCCAGCCUGUUCUCUCUGCCGCCCAUCAUGCCCAGCCUGUACCGAAGAGACAAUGCGAGUCUCUACCUCCAGACAGUCCAGGCCUUAGAUGACAUGUUGCAGGCUCUUGUGAUGGACGGUAUGAACCCCAACAUGCUCAUACUACAACACUUCCUGGAGAUCAUCUUACCUUGGUCAUCACUGUCAGACAAAGUGCACGAACAGAUGCGGGCCUUGGGCACUAUUUCCCGGCUGCUGAGGUUUAUUUGCAGUUUCCCAGAACUGUCAGUGAGUGCUUGGAGUCGGGGAAAGGCUGACUCAGUAGGCCCUGCUUCUCUGCACAUGGGGUACCUGAGAGCCUAUGGCUCUGCAGGGGGUUACUGGGAGGUGGGUGGUCAGAGUGUCCCUCUUUUUUUGCAUUAGCGACUUUUCUGUUCCUAUGGGGUAAGAGGUUUGACUUGUUUGCUUGGUCUGCCCUUGGCCAAGUGAGUUCCAACUGGCUGGACACAUCUCAGCCUUGCUGGGAGACCUUGGCCUAAACAGCUGAGUUGGGUCCACAACUUCCCACUGGCUAACAUGUUUCGGGGAUCUGGCUGCCGCAUUUCCCUGGGUGUUGCUUUGAAAGGUUUUUCUUGGCCAGGGAAAGAGUGUGGAGCUGGUGUGGUGAGGGGAUACAUGCAGGCAAAUGAUUCAGUGGUGUGGAGGGGUGGGGAGGUUGGAGAGGGUUGGUGGCCACAGUAUGGGGAAGCUCCUUUUCGGGUGAUGGGGAGUUAACCAGUUUCCUCUUUGGGGCAGCACAUGGAGGAAUUCUCAAUGAGUGGGAAACUGAUGAGCAUCUUCGGCCUCUUCUGCAUGGACUGCAACCACGAGAUCAGCAAAGAGGCAUCGGAGGCAUUGCAUUACCUGUUCAAAAUCCUUGUGCUUCAGAGAAGUAAGCAACAUGAGCCUGGGUAGCCACUGGGCUGCAGCCAUGAGAGCCCAUGAA